AAGAUUAAGCCAUGCAUGUCUAAGUAUAAACAUUUGUACUGUGAAACUGCGGACGGCUCAUUAAAUCAGUUAUAGUUUAUUUGAUAGUAACUACUACUUGGAUAACCGUGGUAAUUCUAGAGCUAAUACAUGCACUGAAAUCCCGACUUCUGGAAGGGAUGUAUUUAUUAGAUAAAAAACCAACCCGGGCAACCGGUUCUUUGGUGAAUCAUAUUAACUUAACGGAUCGCAU
rnacentral:rRNA from 1 species